GCAACCCUUSAUYUUAGUYGCCAGCAUUCAGUUGGGCACUCUAAGGUGACUGCCGGUGACAAACCGGAGGAAGGUGGGGAUGACGUCAARUCAUCAUGCCCCUUAUGACCUGGGCUACACACGUGCUACAAUGGGCAGAACAAAGGGCAGCGAAGCCGCGAGGUAAGCCAAUCCCACAAAUCUUUCUCAKUCGGAUCGCAUCUGCAAUC
rnacentral:rRNA from 1 species